rnacentral:rRNA from 1 species
UACGUAGGUGGCAAGCGUUGUCCGGAAUUACUGGGUGUAAAGGGCGUGUAGGCGGGAAGAUAAGUCAGAUGUGAAAUUCCGGGGCUCAACCCCGGCACUGCAUCUGAAACUAUCUUUCUUGAGUGCUGGAGAGGAAAGCGGAAUUCCUAGUGUAGCGGUGAAAUGCGUAGAUAUUAGGAGGAACACCUGUGGCGAAAGCGGCGCACUGGACCACAACUGACGCUGAGGCGCGAAAGCUAGGGGAGCAAACAGG